rnacentral:rRNA from 1 species
CAGGCCUAACACAUGCAAGUCGAGCGAUAGCACAGGGGAGCUUGCUCCCUGGGUGACGAGCGGCGGACGGGUGAGUAAUGUCUGGGAAACUGCCUGAUGGAGGGGGAUAACUACUGGGAACGGUAGCUAAUACCGCAUAACGUCGCAAGACCAAAGAGGGGGACCUUCGGGCCUCUUGCCAUCAGAUGUGCCCAGAUGGGAUUAGCUAGUAGGUGGGGUAAUGGCUCACCUAGGCGACGAUCCCUAGCUGGUCUGAGAGGAUGACCAGCCACACUGGAACUGAGACACGGUCCAGACUCCUACGGGAGGCAGCAGUGGGGAAUAUUGCACAAUGGGCGCAAGCCUGAUGCAGCCAUGCCGCGUGUGUGAAGAAGGCCUUCGGGUUGUAAAGCACUUUCAGCGAGGAGGAAUGUGGUAAACUUAAUACUUUCAUCAAUUGUG